rnacentral:sRNA from 1 species
UCCUAGCCCCGAUUGCAAUGAAAAUCCUUUUUUGCCAAAAAAGAUUGUAAUGAAAAGCGGGAUAAAGC